UACAGAGGUCUCAAGCGUUGUUCGGAUUCAUUGGGCGUAAAGGGUGCGUAGGCGGCUCUGUAAGUCAGGUGUGAAAUUUCGAGGCUUAACCUCGAAACUGCAUUUGAUACUGCGGUGCUUGAGGACUGGAGAGGAGACUGGAAUUUACGGUGUAGCAGUGAAAUGCGUAGAGAUCGUAAGGAAGACCAGUGGCGAAGGCGGGUCUCUGGACAGUUCCUGACACUGAGGCACGAAGGCCAGGGGAGCAAACGGG
rnacentral:rRNA from 1 species